AAGUCUCGGGAGUUAACCCCGGAAACGAACGCUACCUCCGGCCCUGGAGAAUAUAGAUCUCCCCUGCGUUCCCCGACCACGGUCAGGAGACAAAAGCAGGAAAGUUUUCUCUCGUGUGAUCACUGGACUGAACACAGAUCCACAUCAGACGUCCUCCAGGAAACAUGAAGGAGAUUUUCCACUCAAACUGAGAGAAUGACUGAAGUCCAGCAGAUGAGUGGUUGUGUGGAGGAAGACGAGGACAGAGCAGAGUCUUCAGAACCCAACGGUCUGUCUGUGAAGACAAAAGGUCAGAACCAGAGACAGAGAGCAGAGUCUCCAGGACCCAGCGGUCUGUCUGUGAAGAGUGAUGAGUCUAUGGGAAUACCUUUAAACUUCAGUCAUGAACCUGGAGCCUCAGA